rnacentral:rRNA from 1 species
UGCAGUCGAGGGGCAUCACAGUAUAGCAAUAUAUGGGUGGCGACCGGCAAACGGGUGCGUAACACGUACGCAACUUACCCUUUACUGGGAGAUAGCCCAGGGAAACUUGGAUUAAUAUCCCAUAUUGCAGGGGAUCGGCAUCGAUCUUCUGCCAAAGUUCCGACGGUAAAGGAUGGGCGUGCGGUUGAUUAGGUAGUUGGCGGGGUAACGGCCCACCAAGCCUACGAUCAAUAGCUGAUGUGAGAGCAUGAUCAGCCACACGGGCACUGAGACACGGGCCCGACUCCUACGGGAGGCAGCAGUAAGGAAUAUUGGGCAAUGGACGCAAGUCUGACCCAGCCAUGCCGCGUGAAGGAUGAAGGCCCUCUGGGUUGUAAACUUCUUUUAUCUGGGGCGAAAGGCGGUUAUUCUUAGCCGUUUGACAGUACCAGAGGAAUAAGCACCGGCUAACUCCGUGCCAGCAGCCGCGGUAAUACGGAGGGUGCAAGCGUUAUCCGGAUUCACUGGGUUUAAAGGGUGCGUAGGUGGAUCUGUAAGUCAGAGGUGAAAUCCCCGAGCUUAACUUGGGAACUGCCUUUGAUACUAUAGAUCUUGAAUAUCGUGGAGGUAAGCGGAAUAUGUCAUGUAGCGGUGAAAUGCAUAGAGAUGACAUAGAACACCAAUUGCGAAGGCAGCUUGCUACACGAUGAUUGACACUGAGGCACGAAAGCGUGGGGAUCAAACAGGAUUAGAUACCCUGGUAGUCCACGCCCUAAACUAUGGAUACUCGACAUCGGCGAUACACAGUUGGUGUCUGAGCGAAAGCAU